ensembl:tRNA tRNA of undetermined specificity, predicted by tRNAscan-SE analysis; very similar to serine tRNAs
GUCCCAGUGGCCGAGUGGUUAAGGCGAUGCCUGCUAGGCAUUGGGUUUUACCUGCGCAGGUUCGAAUCCUGUCUGUGACG